AACCAGGAGACAGGUGCUGCAUGGCUGUCGUCAGCUCGUGUCGUGAGAUGUUGGGUUAAGUCCCGCAACGAGCGCAACCCUUAUCUUUAAUUGCCAGCAUUCAGUUGGGCACUUUAAAGAGACUGCCGGUGUUAAACCGGAGGAAGGUGGGAUGACGUCAAGUCCUCAUGGCCUUUAUGCUUAGGGCUACACACGUGCUACAAUGGGUGGUACAAAGAGAAGCCAACUCGCGAGAGCGCGCCAAUCUCAAAAAGCCAUCCUCAGUUCGGAUUGGAGUCUGCAACUCGACUCCAUGAAGUUGGAAUCGCUAGUAAUCGCGGAUCAGCAUGCCCGCGGUCGAUACGUUCCGGCCUU
rnacentral:rRNA from 1 species